CAGGCGGAUCCGUCAUUUCAGUCU
rnacentral:siRNA from 1 species